rnacentral:tRNA from 6 species
GCUCCCGUAGCUCAGGUGGAUAGAGCGAUCGCCUCCUAAGCGAUAGGCCGCAGGUUCGAAUCCUACCGGGAGCACCA